AGUGAACGCUGGCGGUAGGCCUAACACAUGCAAGUCGAACGGCAGCACAGUAAGAGCUUGCUCUUACGGGUGGCGAGUGGCGGACGGGUGAGGAAUACAUCGGAAUCUACUUUUUCGUGGGGGAUAACGUAGGGAAACUUACGCUAAUACCGCAUACGACCUACGGGUGAAAGCAGGGGAUCUUCGGACCUUGCGCGAUUGAAUGAGCCGAUGUCGGAUUAGCUAGUUGGCGGGGUAAAGGCCCACCAAGGCGACGAUCCGUAGCUGGUCUGAGAGGAUGAUCAGCCACCCUGGAACUGAGACACGGUCCAGACUCCUACGGGAGGCAGCAGUGGGGAAUCUUGGACAAUGGGCGCAAGCCUGAUCCAGCCAUACCGCGUGCGUGAAGAAGGCCUUCGGGUUGUAAAGCCCUUUUGUUGGGAAAGAAGAGCAGCAGGUUAAUACCCCGCUGUUCUGACGGUACCCAAAGAAUAAGCACCGGCUAACUUCGUG
rnacentral:rRNA from 1 species